UACGUAGGGGGCUAGCGUUGUCCGGAAUCAUUGGGCGUAAAGAGCGUGUAGGCGGCUUGGUAAGUCCGCUGUGAAAGUCCAGGGCUCAACCCUGGAAUGCCAGUGGAAACUAGUAAGCUAGAGUCCGGAAGAGGUGAGUGGAACUCCUGGUGUAGCGGUGAAAUGCGCAGAUAUCAGGAAGAACACCAAUGGCGAAGGCAGCUCACUGGGACGGUACUGACGCUGAGACGCGAAAGCGUGGGGAGCAAACAGG
rnacentral:rRNA from 1 species